rnacentral:rRNA from 1 species
GUUGAACGGUAUUGUAUGGUGCUGCACUAGACAAAGAGAGUAGCGCACUGGUGAGUAACACGUGGGAACGUGCCUUUUAGUGGGGGACAACAGUUGGAAACGACUGCUAAUAACCGCAUAAGACCCUGAGGGGGAAAAGAUUUAUCGCUAAAAGAUCGGCCCGCGGAAGAUUAGGCAGUUGGUGGGGUAAAGGCCUACCAAACCUACGAUCUAUAGCUGGUCUGAGAGGACGAUCAGCCACAUUGGAACUGAGACACGGUCCAGACUCCUACGGGAGGCAGCAGUGAGGAAUAUUGGGCAAUGGAGGGAACUCUGAACCCCCAGCCAUGCCGCGUGAGUGAGAAGGUCUUCGGAUUGUAAAGCUCUUUCGGAUGGGACGAUGAUGACGGUACCAUCUAAAGAAGCCCCGGCAAACUUCGUGCCAGCCGCCGC